rnacentral:ncRNA from 1 species
CAAUGCAGGUAAAUUUUGCCCCUUAUAGUAGAAAUAUUAUAAGUGUAACUCCUUUAAUUCAUGGGAACUCUCUCAUUUGAGACAAUCAUGAGCCAAGCUUAAUAAAUUACUAGGAAGGUGCAACGACUAUUAUGUACAAUCAAGUGAUUGGAAACAGGGAGAACCUAAGUCUCAUUAGAUAUGGUUAAGAUAUAGUCUGAACUUUGUAGGAGACUACAAG